rnacentral:tRNA from 1 species
NNNUCGGUAGAGCAAAGGACUGAAAAUCCUUGUGUCGGCGGUUCGAUUCCGUCCUGAGCCA